UUGAGUCUUUCUCUGGUUCUUCCUGAUUCAACCUUUUUCCAUCUUCUCUGGUUCCCUCCUAAUUCCAAUUUUCUCGUUCAAAUUCCCUUCACUCGCAGCUCAACAACACUUCCCUGUCACUCAAUUUCAACCCUUCACAGGAAACAAUCUCUUCAUUUGUUCCCUCGCCGGAACCCUAGCUUCUGCCAAUGGCAUCCAAGAAGAAGCAAUCUGAAGGUAUAGCCUUAUUGUCCAUGUACAACGACGACGGAGACGACGAUAUGGAGGACGCCGAAGAAGAUGAAGAAGAUAACCAAGAGAUAGAUAUGCGCCACGAGCAGAAUGAGGACGCCGCCACCGGAGGAUUCGCUGCGGAGGUAAAUUUGACUGCCACCGACGCGGAUAGAAUGGCAGGUUUGGAAGUAACGAUGGAGUUGCGGACGAGGUGUCCACACCGGCGGAGGAGCGCAGGUUUGGAACUUCAACGCCGCAGCGUGUUAACACAAACAUGGUAAUUUCGCCGCCGCAAGAUCAACGAGGGGUGAGAGGAAAGCUUACUAUAGUGGACUAUGGUCAUGACGAAGUUGCAAUGUCUCCUGAGCCUGAGGAAGGACAGAUAGGAGGUAGUGUUCGAGUCAUGUAUGGGGACCAGCUUAAUUUGACCAAUGGUGAUUUGCUAGAUAGAACACCAUCUGGAGCAGUCCACGUUAUGACACCUAGCAAUCAAGCAAACACUCCUCAAUUAUCUGAGCAGUUGAAAUCUGAUACAAUGAAUGAUGAUGCCAUGAUUGGACCUGAUGAUGCAGAACCUGUAGAAGCAGGUCAAGAUGAGCAAAAAGCUGAAGACCCAUUGAAUAAAUUUCUCCCUCCUCCACCAAAAGCAAAAUGCUCAGAGGAACUGCAAGUAAGUUUUGUUACAGCAUUUGAAUAUUAUCAACAGUUGAAUACCAUUUUAAUAGAUUGUAAAGUAGCAUUCAAUAAGUUAAGUAAACCACUUAGCUUGUCUUCUGCGCUGCAAAUACUGGUUUUUCUAUUUUUUAACUUCUAUUUGUUUCUUGGUGCCUUAAAUGAACAAACAGAGGCUGAUAUGAGGCGUGAAAGUGAAAGGAAAGAACAUGAGAAGAAGAAAGCACAGAAGAUGGAAUUUAUCGCUGGGGGAACACAACCGGGAAUCGUAGCAGCAGGUGCUCCCAGAAUCAGCUUGCCUGUUGCAGGUGGUUCUGCUGUGGCUGCAAGUGGUUUGGUGCCACCUAUAGCUGACUCUAUUAAUCGGGAUGGUAGACAGAACAAAAAAUCAAAAUGGGAUAAGGUGGAUGGUGAUCGAAAAAAUCCUCUGCCCUCUGUGGGGCAGGAUUCUGUAUCUACUGUUGGGACUCAUGCAGCAAUUCUAUCUACUGUUAAUGCUGGCAGUGGGUACAUGCUAUUUGUGUAA